rnacentral:rRNA from 1 species
AGUGAACGCUGGCGGUAGGCCUAACACAUGCAAGUCGAACGGCAGCACAGUAAGAGCUUGCUCUUACGGGUGGCGAGUGGCGGACGGGUGAGGAAUACAUCGGAAUCUACUUUUUCGUGGGGGAUAACGUAGGGAAACUUACGCUAAUACCGCAUACGACCUACGGGUGAAAGCAGGGGAUCUUCGGACCUUGCGCGAUUGAAUGAGCCGAUGUCGGAUUAGCUAGUUGGCGGGGUAAAGGCCCACCAAGGCGACGAUCCGUAGCUGGUCUGAGAGGAUGAUCAGCCACACUGGAACUGAGACACGGUCCAGACUCCUACGGGAGGCAGCAGUGGGGAAUAUUGGACAAUGGGCGCAAGCCUGAUCCAGCCAUACCGCGUGGGUGAAGAAGGCCUUCGGGUUGUAAAGCCCCUUUGUUGGGAAAGAAAAGCAGCAGGUUAAUACCCCGCUGUUCUGACGGUACCCAAAGAAUAAGCACCGGCCAACUUCGUG